GAGGCCUUCCGUUGGGCCGGUGUGGCCUCGGGGCUCGGCCCAGGCCGAGGCCGAGGCGGAAACCUUUCUUUCUGAACCGCCUGGCGAUGUUGCGCCUUCCGACGUUUAGGGGCUCCCGUGCAGUCUUAAGCGCGUUUACGGGAGAGGAGGAACUGAAUUCAGUAGCUUCCGAUUUGCAGGUCAGAAAUGGUAAGAAAUAAUAAAUGAGAUGCAUACAAAUGUCAUCCUAAUAAAAAAAGAGUCUUAAGGGGACAGGUUGGGCUGAGAGGUACCGACUAAUGUCACCCCAUGAUCUUCCAUGGCUGACAGAGGACUUGAACCGGUUUCCCAGUUGUAAGUCCACCUUAGCCACUACACCACUUUGGUUCAUGCAUUAAGACAGUGAUUCUCAACUUUGGCAACUUUAAGAUGUGUGGACUUCAACUCCCAGAAUUCCCCAGCCAGAUAUUCUUAAUUGCAUUAAGAUAUUCAAAAGAAGCCCUUCACAGUGUUUCCUCUGUAAGAGAACUGUAUCUUUCUAGACUUCUCAGAGAGUGCCCUUGCUAUAACUCAACACCUCUUUUGUUCCACAUAUAUCAGUAAACAUCCAAAUUGCUCAUAAGUAUGCACAAUU